rnacentral:rRNA from 1 species
GAUGAACGCUGGCGGCGUGCCUAAUACAUGCAAGUCGAGCGAACAGACGAGGAGCUUGCUCCUCUGACGUUAGCGGCGGACGGGUGAGUAACACGUGGAUAACCUACCUUUAAGACUGGGAUAACUUCGGGAAACCGGAGCUAAUACUGGAUAAUAUAUUGAACCGUAUGGUUCAAUAGUUAAUGACGGUUUUGCUGUCACUUAUAGAUUGAUCUGCGCCGCAUUAGCUAGUUGGUAAGGUAACGGCUUACCAAGGCGACGAUGCGUAGCCGACCUGGGAGGGUGAUAGGCCGCACGGGAGCUGAGACACGGUCCAGGGUCCUAAGGGAGGCAGCAGAAGGGAAUGUUACGCAAUAGGCGAAAACAUGACGGAACGACGCCGCGUGAGUGAUAAAAAUCUUCGGAUCGUAAAAAUGUGUUAUGAGGGAAAAACAAAUGUGUAAGUAACUAUGCACGUCUUGACGGUACCUAAUCAGAAAGCCACGGCUAACUACGUG